CAUGUCCUCUUGUUUAUAUUUUGAGGUCUGGCCUGCUCACUGAGCGUAUUUUUAAAGAGCCGCGGUAUUUUGACCGUGCAAAGGUAGCAUAAUCAUUAGUCUCUUAAUUAGUGGCUGGAAUGAAUGGCUUGACGAGAAAUCAACUGUCUCUUAAUAAAUUUUUGAAUUUCACUUUUGAGUCAAAAGGCUUACAUUCUUCUUUAGGACGAGAAGACCCUAUAGAGAUUGACAUUUUACUUUUAUAUAGUUUUCUGUUUGUCUUUCUAUAUUUAAUGAUGAUGUUUUGUUGGGGUGACAUGAAGAAUAGAUAAACUCUUCAUUAUUAUAUCAUUUAUUUAUGUUUGUUAUUUUGAUCCAUAAUUUAUGAUCAUAAGAUUAAGUUACCUUAGGGAUAACAGCGUAAUUGUUUUUGAGAGCUCAUAUCGACAAAGCAGAUUGCGACCUCGAUGUUGGAUUAAGAAAAAUUUUGGGUGCAGGAGCCCAAUGAUUAGGUCUGUUCGACCUUUAAAUUCUUACAUGAUCUGAGUUCAGACCGGCGUGAGCCAGGUCGGUUUCUAUCCUAAGAUUGUUAAUCCAUAUUAGUACGAAAGGACCAUAUGGUUAAAAUAUUUUUUGUUAUAUUGAUUAAUAUUAAUUUAUUUA